rnacentral:rRNA from 1 species
AGUGAACGCUGGCGGUAGGCCUAACACAUGCAAGUCGAACGGCAGCACAGAGGAGCUUGCUCCUUGGGUGGCGAGUGGCGGACGGGUGAGGAAUACAUCGGAAUCUACUCUGUCGUGGGGGAUAACGUAGGGAAACUUACGCUAAUACCGCAUACGACCUACGGGUGAAAGCAGGGGAUCUUCGGACCUUGCGCGAUUGAAUGAGCCGAUGUCGGAUUAGCUAGUUGGCGGGGUAAAGGCCCACCAAGGCGACGAUCCGUAGCUGGUCUGAGGGGAUGAUCAGCCACACUGGAACGGAGACACGGUCCCGACUCCUACGGGAGGCAGCAGUGGGGAAUAUUGGUCAAUGGGCGCAAGCCUGAUCCAGCCAUACCGCGUGGGUGAAGAAGGCCUUCGGGUUGUAAAGCCCUUUUGUUGGGAAAGAAAUCCAUCUGGUUAAUACCCGGGUGGGAUGACGGUACCCAAAGAAUAAGCACCGGCUAACUUCGUGCCAGCCGCCGCCGUAA